CGGUGAAAAGACGUAGAAUAUUAGGAAGGAACACCCACUGGCGAAAGGCGGGCUUACUUGGACCGUAACUAACGUUGAGGCUCGAAAAGCGAGGGGAGCAAAACAAGAUUAGAUACCCUCGUAGUCCACGCCCCUAAACGAUGAUUACUAGGUGUCGGGGGACCAAGGUCCUCCGGUGCCGGCGCAAACGCAUUAAGUAAUCCACCUGGGGAGUACGUUCGCAAGAAUGAAACUCAAAGGAAUAGACGGGGACCCGCACAAGCGGUGGAGCAUGUGGUUUAAUUAGAAGCAACGCGAAGAACAUUACCUGGUCUUGACAUCCGGACGCCGUAUGGGCAAAGCCAUAUUUCUUUCUGGACGUCCGAGACAGGUGGUGCAUGGUUGUCGUCAGCUCGUGUCGUGAGAUGUUGGGUUAAGUCCCGCAACGAGCGCAACCCCUGUUUUCAGUAGCCAGCAUAUAAAGAUGGGCACUCUGGAGAGACUGCCCGGGAUAACCGGGAGGAAGGCGGGGAGGACGUCAAAUCAUCAUGCCCCCUAUGAUCAGGGGUACACACGUGCUACAAUGGCGUAAACAAAGGGAAGCGAGACGGUGACGUUGAGCAAAUCCCAGAAAUAACGUCCCAGUUCGGAUUGUAGUCUGCAACCCGACUACAUGAAGCUGGAAUCGCUAGUAAUCGCGAAUCAGAAUGUCGCGGUGAAUACGUUCCCGGGUCUUGUACACACCCCCCGUCA
rnacentral:rRNA from 1 species